AACUUGCAAACACGUUUCUACGGUAACCGGGGAGGUGGGGUUUACUUUCCACACACUGGAAGCCUCUUUGUCGUCAUUUUACGUGGUCUGGGUGGUGCCUACGAACCCAGCUCACAUUAGUGAUGAAGUUCACGUUUCCAAAUUGAGGUCCACUCAGCGAAUCGCCUGCUGGCAGCGGGCCUGCCCAUCGGCACGGUUUCCAGGUGAGGCCCGGCCUGCGGGCGAGGACAGAGUGGAGCCCAGGAGGACCGCGCGGGAGCGCGCCAGCAGGCCACAGCAGCGCGUGCAGACGAAGCCGGUCCGGGGGCAGGGGCGAGGGUUGGCCAGCGCCCCUGCUGUCCUGCGAGCCCGCCGUCACCCAGGCCCGCGUGGGCUCUCCCACGAGCCAAGACGGCGCGUCCCCGCAUGUCCUGCCCGCCGCGCUGGCUCAGUGCCCUCGCCCCGCGCCCCGCCCUCCGCUGAGAAUUCGCGCCGCAUCUGCGCACACAUUUCGGGAUGAGCCACGUCACGUCAGGCCCGCGGAGCCCGUGCAGGCCAGCACACCGCCCAGGAAGACACCAGCCCAAGGACCUACGUGGCAUCCAGGAAAGAGCAAGCACGAGUGAACAUUUGUCACCUGAAUGCACAGGCUCAGAAUCCGCACCCGGGAAAUGCGGCCGGCAAACACCUGACGGAGCUUCAGUGGCGACGAAUCCAGCAGGAAGAAUGAAGGCAGAGGGCUUGCAGGCAACACCAAGAGUGAUGGCCCUGUUUGUGUGCCACGUGACUCUCCCGCAGGUGUGUGACAGUAUUAACUUACUCCCCACAAGGCCCUGAGAACACUAGUGUUAUUCUUCAUCCCUGUUUUACAGACCAGCAUGCUGAGGCAAGAGCGGGCAGGUUGCCCGACUUGCAUCUGGGUCUUUCCCCGCCGAGGGCCAGUGGUCUGACUUCCCACGGGAGCCCAGAGCCAAGCUGUCAGGCCUUCGGCAAGUCCAGGCACCAGACACGCUGAGAGCAAAGCCACAGCUCCUGAAGUCGGCCACGUCGUGUUUCCGUCUCUGCCGCCAUCCCCAAGAGCAGGGCCCUCGCUCACCUUCCGUUCAUCUGCUCCCCCAACGAGUGCUUGACCCACGGCACCUGUGCCCCACGCCCGCCGCCACACAAACCCCAUAUCCACCGGCAACUAGAGAGCCGUGGGCCACCUCCCCACAGCCCCGCGUUUCACCGCUUGGAGAGUCGGCAACCAGGGGCCAGAGAGGAGCAUGUUGAUGGGGGGCAGGACUUCUCCUCGGGUGUUAGCAUAUUCUGUGCAGGUGGGACAGCCCCCAGGGCCCCAGGGCCCCUUCUCCAAGCCUGCCCCCUGCUUACCUCAGGUCGCCUCCGUUCAUGAUAGUUAUCACCAGACAGAGGUCGGUUUUGGUUUCAAAUGCAUACGCCAGUGAGACUAUAAACCUGCUGUGUACCUUU